rfam:Schistosoma margrebowiei strain Zambia genome assembly, scaffold: SMRZ_scaffold0000168
AUUCAACUGAUGAGUCUUAAAUAGGACGAAACAUACAUCCUGGAU